rnacentral:misc_RNA from 1 species
AGUUCACUACUUCCAAAUUAUUCCAUCUUUGGUUCUACUUCUUCCACCAACACAACUUCUCCAACCAUGGCUACUUUGCUUUCCUCUAGCUUUCACCAGCAAAAGUUCAGUGUCAAAGAUACUAGAGCUCCUAACCACCUUCAGGCCUUAACACCUUUCGAAGACCUGCAAAUGAGUGGCAAUAGUGAAUCCGGGAUCUCUAUGAAAGAAGUGAAAAUUGAACAAGACCAAAGCAGGUUGACCUGGAAUAUGCCAUGCCAGAAUCAAAUAGAGCAAAUUGGCUUCUCAUCAUCAGAUCCUUCAAUUUAUUGGAACGCAUCCACAAACAGUACUGUCGGUGCAUGGCAUGAUCCGGCGAGUAUUGGGCCCUCCGUCACUUCUCUGAUCUAGCACAACCAAACACUAUUUCUUUUGAUUCAUCUCCCUCUUUUUUUUUUUUUUUUUUUUUUCCUUCAAUAAUCUUGGUCUCUUCAGCUUAGAUUUUCUUUUGUUGGUCACUUAUGUUUGUAGUGGAAUUUAUGGGGUGGGAAUCACAAACCAGAAAAGGCGCAAAAAAAAAAAAAGGUAAAGCUCGGUAUUGAAGCAAAUUAAAGAUGAGAGGAGCUUGGAUCG